rnacentral:rRNA from 1 species
AUUUAAAAUUAAUUUAAUUUUUUUAGUUAAAUUUAAAAUUUAAAUAAAGAUAUAGAAAUUAAAAUUUUUUAGUAUUAAUUGGAAAAAAAAGUUAUAAUUUUUUAAUUGUAAGAGUAUUUUGAAAUUAAAAAAAGAAAAUUUUGUUUAUUGUACCUUUUGUAUCAGGGAUUAUUAAAAUUAAAUAUUAAAAUUAAUAUAUCUCGAAUUAAAAAGAGCUAAUUUAAUAUUAUAGUUAAUGUAGAAUAAUUAUUAUAAAUUUUAAAUUUGAAGUGAAAUGUUAAACGAUUUUUAAGAUAUCUAGUUUUUUAAUAUAAAAAUUUAAUUUUUUUAUAAAUUAGAUUAUUAAUAAUUAAAGAUUUUUAAUUGUUUUAUAAAGAAGAAUUUAUGGGAUUAUCUAUAAAUUUAAAUUAAAUGAUAAAUUUAAAAUUUAAAAUUUAGAAAUUAAAAUUUUUAAAAUUUAAAAGUUUUUAAUAAUUUAUUAUUUAAAGGGUAAUUUGAUUUUUAAGGUUAUUAAUUUAUUAUUAAAAUAAAUUUAUAAAUUUUUUAUAAAUUAAAAUAAUGAUAAUAUUAGUAUAAAUAAAUUGUUAAAUUAAUUAAAUUAUAAAAUUAAUUUAAGGAAUUAAGCAAAUUUUAAAAUUCACUUGUUUAUCAAAAACAUGUUUUUUUGAAAUUAAUAAAAAAUUUUCUCUGCCCAAUGAUAAAUUAAAUGGCCGCGGUAUUUUGACUGUGCAAAGGUAGCAUAAUAAAUAGUUUUUUAAUUGAAGACUAGAAUGAAUGAGAGGAUGAAAUUUUAACUGUCUCAAUUUAAUUAUAAAAUUUUAUUUUAAGUUAAAAUUCUUAAAUAAAUUUAAGGGACGAGAAGACCCUAUAGAAUUUAAAAAUUAAAUUUAAUUUUAGAGUUAAUAUUAUAUUGAAAUUAUUUAAAGAUUUUUUUAUUGGGAUGAUAUUUAAAUUUAAAUAACUUAAAAUUAUUAAAUUCAAUGAUUAAUGAAUUUAAGAAUAAAUUUAAUAAAUAAAAGAUAAAAUUACCUUAGGGAUAACAGCGUAAUAAAUUUUUAAAGUUCAAAUUAAAAAAUUUGAUUGCGACCUCGAUGUUGAAUUAAAAUAAAAUUUAAGUGGAGAAGC